UACAGAGGGUGCAAACGUUGCUCGGAAUCAUUGGGCGUAAAGCGCACGUAGGCGGCCCAGCAAGUGGGGAGUGAAAGCCCGGGCUCAACCCGGGAAGUGCACUCGAUACUGCGUAGCUUGAGUCUCGGAGAGGUUGGUGGAAUUCUCGGUGUAGAGGUGAAAUUCGUAGAUAUCGAGAGGAACACCGGUGGCGAAGGCGGCCAACUGGACGAAGACUGACGCUGGAGACACGAAAGCGUGGGGAGCAAACAGG
rnacentral:rRNA from 1 species